AGUGGCGAUGGGUACGUUUCUGUUGAAGUCUCACCUAGACUUGCUGAUGAUACAGAGGGGACUGUGGAGGCUGCAAAGUGGCUUCAUAAGAAGGUUGAACGUUCCAAUGUGUAUAUUAAAAUUCCCGCUACUGCUCCAUGCAUUCCUUCCAUCAAGGAAGUCAUUUCACUUGGAAUAAGUGUCAAUGUGACGCUUAUCUUUUCUCUUUCAAGAUAUGAAGCAGUCAUUGAUGCU
rnacentral:misc_RNA from 1 species